rnacentral:rRNA from 1 species
UACGGAGGGUGCAAGCGUUAUCCGGAUUUACUGGGUUUAAAGGGUGUGUAGGCGGACUUUUAAGUCAGCGGUGAAAUCUCCGGGCUCAACCCGGAAACUGCCAUUGAUACUAUAGGUCUUGAAUUCAGUUGAGGUGGGCGGAAUGUGUCGUGUAGCGGUGAAAUGCUUAGAUAUGACACAGAACACCGAUUGCGAAGGCAGCUCGCUAAACUGACAUUGACGCUGAGGCACGAAAGCGUGGGGAUCAAACAGG